rnacentral:lncRNA from 1 species
CAGCACUUUGGCAGUAAGCCUAAGGAAUUUAUUACCAAUACCAUCAGGGCCCGUCGCUUUGCGAACGUCUAGAGAAAGAAGUAUAUCUUCAACAUCUCUCUGGGUUAGUUCAAUGUUUGCUAAACAGUUCAAUGAUUUACUACAUAAGGGUGGGAGGGAACAUUCUGUAUCUUCAACCGUAGAUUGGGCAGAGAAAAAAUCGUUAAAGAUAUUAGCUAUAGAUGUAGGAUCAUCAUAAAUGACAUUUUCAUGGGAAAUGGAAGGAAACGAUGUUGAUAACAUUUUUCUUCAGAUAGUAUUUAAUAAGCUGCCACCAUUUCUUAUUAUGACUCUGUUCGUUUAUCAUACUAUCUAAUUAUAAAAAGUACCUUUCUUUCGCUUUUUUAAUUUCUGACACUACCUUAUUCCUUGUGGUUCUAAAAACUUCGCAGUCAGAGGAAUGAGUGAGUUUAGUUUUAC